rnacentral:rRNA from 1 species
AUUGAACGCUGGCGGCAUGCCUUACACAUGCAAGUCGAACGGCAGCGCGGGGCAACCUGGCGGCGAGUGGCGAACGGGUGAGUAAUAUAUCGGAACGUACCCUGGAGUGGGGGAUAACGUAGCGAAAGUUACGCUAAUACCGCAUACGAUCUAAGGAUGAAAGUGGGGGAUGCGCAAGCACCUCAUGCUCCUGGAGCGGCCGAUAUCUGAUUAGCUAGUUGGUGGGGUAAAGGCCUACCAAGGCAUCGAUCAGUAGCUGGUCUGAGAGGACGACCAGCCACACUGGAACUGAGACACGGUCCAGACUCCUACGGGAGGCAGCAGUGGGGAAUUUUGGACAAUGGGCGAAAGCCUGAUCCAGCAAUGCCGCGUGAGUGAAGAAGGCCUUCGGGUUGUAAAGCUCUUUUGUCAGGGAAGAAACGGUGAGGGCUAAUAUCCCUUGCUAAUGACGGUACCUGAAGAAUAAGCACCGGCUAACUACGUGCCAGCAGCCGCGGGUAUACGUAGGGUGCAAGCGUUAAUCGGAAUUACUGGGCGUAAAGCGUGCGCAGCGGUUUUGUAGUCUGUCGUGAAAUCCCCGGGCUCAACCUGGGAAUUGCGAUGGAGACUGCAAGGCUAGAAUCUGGCAGAGGGGGGUAGAAUUCCACGUGUAGCAGUGAAAUGCGUAGAGAUGUGGAGGAACACCGAUGGCGAAGGCAGCCCCCUGGGUCAAGAUUGACGCUCAUGCACGAAAGCGUGGGGAGCAAACAGGAUUAGAUACCCUGGUAGUCCACGCCCUAAACGAUGUCUACUAGUUGUCGGGUUUUAAUUAACUUGGUAACGCAGCUAACGCGUGAAGUAGACCGCCUGGGGAGUACGGUCGCAAGAUUAAAACCCAAAGGAAUUGACGGGGACCCGCACAAGCGGUGGAUGAUGUGGAUUAAUUCGAUGCAACGCGAAAAACCUUACCUACCCUUGACAUGUACGGAAGCCACGAGAGAUCGAGGCGUGCUCGAAAGAGAGCCGUAACACAGGUGCUGCAUGGCUGUCGUCAGCUCGUGUCGUGAGAUGUUGGGUUAAGUCCCGCAACGAGCGCAACCCUUGUCAUUAGUUGCUACGAAAGAGCACUCUAAUGGGACUGCCGGUGACAAACCGGAGGAAGGUGGGGAUGACGUCAAGUCCUCAUGGCCCUUAUGGGUAGGGCUUCACACGUCAUACAAUGGUACAUACAGAGGGCCGCCAACCCGCGAGGGGGAGCUAAUCCCAGAAAGUGUAUCGUAGUCCGGAUUGUAGUCUGCAACUCGACUACAUGAAGUUGGAAUCGCUAGUAAUCGCGGAUCAGCAUGUCGCGGUGAAUACGUUCCCGGGUCU